rnacentral:rRNA from 1 species
AUUCCAGCUCCAAUAGCGUAUAUUAAAGUUGUUGCGGUUAAAAAGCUCGUAGUUGGAGUUCUGCCAGGUGCCGCCUGUCCGCCCCAGUGGUGAGUACGUGGCGCGCAUUUGGCCCUUUCAAGGGGAGCGUAUUGCACUUAACUGUGUGGUGCGGGAUCCUUGACUUUUACUUUGAGGAAAUAAGAGUGUUCCAAGCAGGCUCUCGUCGUGCAUAGCUCAGCAUGGAAUAAUAGCAUUGGAUCUCGAUUCCAAACUGUUGGUUGUAGGAAACGAGAUAAUGAUGAAGAGGGAUAGUUGGGGGCAUUAGUAUUUAAUUGUCAGAGGUGAAAUUCUCAGAUUUGUUAAAGACUAACUUAUGCGAAAGCAUUUGCCAAGGAUGUUUUCAUCA